rnacentral:precursor_RNA from 1 species
GUAUGAAGAUAAUACGUCGCCCAGGUACUUUACCCGGUUUGACUAGUAAAACACCCGGAUCGAAAGUGGGUUUUAGUGAUCGAUCAACAUCGAGUAAAAAGAUUUCUCAAUAUYGUAUCCGAUUGGAGGAGAAACAAAAAUUGCGUCUCCAUUACGGAUUGACGGAAAGGCAAUUGCUAAAAUAUGUUUUUACCGCUAGGGGGGCAAAAGGUUCAACGGGUCAAUUAUUUUUACAGCUGCUUGAAAUGCGUYUGGAUAAUACAAUUUUUYGUYUAGGUAUAGUUCCAACGAUUCCUGCAGCAAGACAAUUGGUUAAUCAUCGACAUGUGUCAAUAAAUGAACAUAUAAUUGAUAUACCAAGUUAUAAUUGCAAACCGGGGGAUGUUAUUACAAUAAACAAUCGUGAAAAAUGUCGAUUAGUAAAUAUGAAUUCAUUACAGAAGCCGGCGAUACCAAAUCAUUUGACUUUUGAUUCAAAAGAAUUUGUUGGAUCGGUGCAGCAAAUAAUUGACCGCGAUUGGAUUUAUUUAAAAAUUAAUGAAUUSUUKGUUGU